GCCUCACUUUGCAUCGCACACGACCACACUCGCUACUUAAACAGCUACGCAGUCCACAACACCAGUGGCCGGCAGCCUCCAACACCACCCUUGGAGUGUAGCACGUCGCUCGCGUAGGGAAAAGGAAGCACCUCCCACAUCCGACGAGUGACGGUUUGAUCCAUGGAGUCCCCGCAAAAGAAGGCUCCUGCAUCCAUGGACGGCAGCAAGGCGCCUCAUCUGCUGCCGGUGACCCUGUCCCUGGCCAAGAAGACGCCUCGUCCUGAUCUUGUCCGAGGAGUCAGUUCAUGGGCGCUCCUCACCGCCUGCCACAUCGCGCUCUCCUUGGCCAUCGCACCGUAAUAGCCUACGCACUCUACCACUUCCACGUCCGUUGCAGCCAGGUACGCCCGAUUCCCCUUGCCCUACCCCUUGGCUGCUGCCCUUCUCCAUGCCUUCUCAAUUUCCACUCCUCCACAGUCCUCCUUCUUUCUGUGCUGCGACCAGCUUACGGACGCGGAGGAAGCCAUGGUGAACGCCCUAGGGAUCGGGCUGCUGUGCUGCCUCGUGCUCCAGGCGGCCGCGGCGGUGCUGGCCCUGCGGCUCCCGUGCCGCCGCCGUCGCCGCGCCCUCGCCUACCUCACGCUCGUGCUCACUAUCGUCGGCCACUUCAUCAUGGCCGCCAUAGCCCAUAUCCUCCUCGUUGCCGACCCAGGAGACCUCUUCUUCCGGAUCUGCUCCACCGGGGGCCUCUUCAUCUACGCAGCGGGAGACAUCAUCAGCUUCUUGGCCCUCCUCCUCGGCAGCGGUGAGGAGUAGGACUGAGAAGCAGGGGUACGUAGGCAGCGUCGCAGCGAUCAUGUCCAUGGAUCAGCUGGUGAGGUACUAAUGAGGGACUGAUAAAUAAUGAGUAGGAGUAUGCAUUAUGCUAGCUGCCACAAUUGACCGAGUGCCGUAUGCGUGAAUCUACCAGUGUACUCGACUGUUAAUUGGAUAGAUCGGAGAUGCUAGUACGUAUUUGUGUAAUGUGUUACGUACCCUGAAUUGUGCCCGUCUUUGAUGCAGUAGUAUUCCACCUUUCCUCUGUAGUAUGAUCAGACAUCAUUUAUAUGCUUA